CCUAUGGGGGGCUGCAGUGGGGAAUAUUGGACAAUGGGGGCAACCCUGAUCCAGCCAUGCCGCGUGUGUGAAGAAGGCCCUCGGGUUGUAAAGCACUUUCAGUGAGGAAGAACGCCUGGUGGUUAAUACCCAUCAGGAAAGACAUCACUCACAGAAGAAGCACCGGCUAACUCCGUGCCAGCAGCCGCGGUAAUACGGAGGGUGCGAGCGUUAAUCGGAAUUACUGGGCGUAAAGCGCGCGUAGGUGGCUUGAUAAGCCGGUUGUGAAAGCCCCGGGCUCAACCUGGGAACGGCAUCCGGAACUGUCAAGCUAGAGUGCAGGAGAGGAAGGUAGAAUUCCCGGUGUAGCGGUGAAAUGCGUAGAGAUCGGGAGGAAUACCAGUGGCGAAGGCGGCCUUCUGGACUGACACUGACACUGAGGUGCGAAAGCGUGGGUAGCAAACAGGAUUAGAUACCCGUGUAGUC
rnacentral:rRNA from 1 species